AUGGAGGGAGGCUCCCCAGCUCCGGCCCCUACCGCGUGGCGGAAGGACAAGUUUUUCGAAGUGGAGAUGAGAGUCCGCGACGAUGACCUUGACGAGUAUGGCGUUGUCAACAACGCCGUCCACGCCAGUUACAUCCAUGACGCUCGUAACGUGCUGCUUGAAACCCUUGGUAUUAGCAUUCACUUCUGGACAUCCACGGGGAACACGAUGGCGCUUUCAGAACUGCACCUCAAGUACUUCACGCCUCUUAGGAGUGGUGGCAGGUUCAUCGUCAAGCUGAGGGUGGUGCAAAUCAAAGGUGUGAGAAUAAUAGUCGACCAUGUGAUCGAGACGCUGCCCAAUCGUAAGGUCGUUAUGGAAGCCAGUGCAACCGCUGUUUGCCUCGACAAAAACCACCGUCCAACUCACGUAUUCCCGGAGUUGGUGUCCAAGAUACAUCAGUUUUUUUCAUGUGAAAAUAACUCGAGCUAA
rnacentral:rRNA from 1 species